CGCACAAGUCGCCCCCACCUACCUUCGUUCUAUCGUGUGAUCCCUGAUCCAGAUUCCUCCUGUUCGUCUCCGUCCUCGCCGCCUCAACUACGCCCCGUGAUCUCGAUGUCGAGGACUUCCCCAUCUCUCCAGCACCUCCCUCCACUCCCACCCAGACCAAUCUAGGAUACGCCCCCAAACGCCAACCCUGCGGCAUCGACGGAGCGUGACAAUGUCGACCGCCCGGCGAGGCGGCGACUUGCCGGACCAGAUGGUGCGGAACCUUCUGGAGCAGGAGAGUCUUCAUCGGAGGCAAGACCACCUGCAGCUUCUUCAUCUCCAUCCUCGUAGCCGCCGUCAGCUUGUUCGUGCUUGUCCAUCGAUUCUGCCAGUACCACAUCCUCGCCAAGGACUUCUCCAACCUCAACGCCAUGGUAAUUUUGUAUUCUCUCGCCUCUCUCUUUGCUUGCUGCCAGUUCACUCGAUCAGCCUAGGUUGUUGGUAUUUGCGAGACAGGCAAACACUCAUGCUGGCUAUUAAAAUGGAGACUUUCAAUUUUGGGUGUUUUCGUAGGUAUGUGGUACUACUUUGUGAUAUGUGGCUGGUUGAUGAACCCUGUAUAUUCCCAAUCCUUUGGAACAGAGAUUCUACUUGCGUUGGUUAGAUGCUGGAUUUCAUCUUAUACCUUCCUUGGAAGGUGACAACAGAAGAUAAGGUCUGCGACUGGAAAAUAAGUAUGCUGUUUGGGCAUUUUCAUUUUAAUAUGUUCUGCUGAUGACCGACUUUGUGUGAAGAUUAAGGUGUCUACCUUGUAGAAAAAAAUACCAAUCAUCUAGCAAUUUCCUUUAAGUAUUAUAGUAUUCCUGAUCCACCGUUGUGGUUGUUGGCUUGCGCCGUUGUGUAUGUACACGCUAAUGACCGGCUGGCCGCAGCUAAUUACUCAUUAUCCAAUAUGUUAAUGAACUAGGACGAAAUUAGAUAAUCCCAAAGCCAGCAGGCAAUAGCCCAUGUACGAUCGUGGCUGGCUUAUUUUGAUCGAUGAAUCGAUCAGAUCAUGACCUGUGUAUAUGCAUGUUCAACACUUUCACCGGCUGGAUAUAGUAACUUCAGUUCAGAUUUGAUUGUGGCUGUCAUCCUAGAGUGUAGUAGCAGCAGCUGCUAGCAGCCUAACGCUGGAGCACUUGGUGUAGCUCCGCAGCAUUGGUCUUCACAACAGUGUGUUUGCUGCGCACCGUCUUCCACGACGCGUUGAUCUUCAGAGUCUUUGAACCGGGCGUCACAACUCAUGUGAGUCAACCUUAAACUUAAGAGUUGAGUGCUAUGGCUGGGACUGUAAAGAAGUGUUCAAAUUAUGAUAGAUCAAAGCCCUUCACAGGUGAUGACGUAUGUUGGAUGAUGGAAUGAUUAUUCUGUUCUGGUGCUUGCUUUGACUUGGGUGUUCAGAGAAGUAAAACUUUGAACUAACGUCUUUAGUGAAGCAACAUAUUGUAUCUGAAGUGAAACUUUCUCUUUGAUACGGAGAUGCGAGCAUCAAACUAACAUCCAUCUAAAGAUAAGAUUGCCAAUAUAAAUCGAUGAUGCAUGGCUCGGAAGUUGGUUGCAAAAUCACGAAGGUGGCUACUAGUUUUAGAUUAGGUUAUUAGAAUGUCAUUCAGGUCAAUGUUUCAAACAUUAUGUUUUAGAUGGCUGACAUGUUGAUUGCAAGGUUGAGAAUCAGACUACUACUAGAUAGUUUCACAUACUGUAAUCUUUGUAUCAUGCUCUUUGUAAAGCAACCGAGUUGAUUUAAUAUAUGUGACCUUUCUAAUUAUUA